GGACCCAUGGCGCAACGGUAGCGCGUCAGAUUCCAGUACUCAUGGUAUCUCCUGAAGGUUAGGCGUUCGAAUCGCCUUGGGUUCA
rfam:Cordyceps militaris CM01 unplaced genomic scaffold CCM_S00007, whole genome shotgun sequence.